AUUGAACGCUGGCGGCAGGCCUAACACAUGCAAGUCGAACGAGUGGCGGACGGGUGAGUAAUGUCUGGGAAACUGCCCGAUGGAGGGGGAUAACUACUGGAAACGGUAGCUAAUACCGCAUACUAGUCGAUGGACCUGCGUUGUAUUAGCUAGUAGGUAGGGUAAUGGCCUACCUAGGCAAGGAUACCUCGCAGAGCUGAGAGGAUGACCAGCCACACUGGAACUGAGACACGGUCCAGACUCCUACGGGAGGCAGCAGUGGGGAAUAUUGCACAAUGGGCGCAAACCUGAUGCAGCCAUGCCGCGUGUAUGAAGAAGGCCUUCGGGUUGUAAAGUACUUUCAGCGAGGAGGCGUUACUCGCAGAAGAAGCACCGGCUAACUCCGUGCCAGCAGCCGCGGUAAUAC
rnacentral:rRNA from 1 species